AAGUAGACACUUUCUACUUCCGGUUGUGGCAAGAUAUUUGUGAAGUCAGCAAUGGCGGUCGAAAAGAAUGGUAAUGUCGCAAAGAAUACUGUUUGUUCGUGGCGUUUGUGACUGAAUCCAUCGAUGUUGCUAAUUAUUUGAAGAAAUCUGGGGAGUCAGCACCCUGCUGAAUUGUAGUAAACAAGAUGUCCAAUCUACUAGACCAUCAAAGACGCAGAUUUGGAUUUUCUAUUUCAUAGUUAUUGAAAUCAUAAUGAUAUAUUGGCAGAAAUAAUGAAAACCUGGCAUUGAAAACUGCAGUUUGGCAGCUCAUUAAUAAUCUUCACAUAUUGAAUAUGAAUAAUUUUGACAAUUACCGGUAUUUUUGAUAGUAUAAAAUUAGGUAAGAAAGCAGCUUUAUUUUAGCACCGAUUUAAAUACAACUCUCUUAAUUUCGAAGGUGAUUCUGCACACACA